AGAGUUUGAUCCUGGCUCAGGACGAACGCUGGCGGCACGCUUAACACAUGCAAGUCGAACGAGAGAAGAGGAGCUUGCUUUUCUGAUCUAGUGGCGGACGGGUGAGUAACACGUGAGCAAUCUGCCUUUCAGAGGGGGAUACCGAUUGGAAACGAUCGUUAAUACCGCAUAACAUAAUUGAACCGCAUGAUUUGAUUAUCAAAGAUUUAUCGCUGAAAGAUGAGCUCGCGUCUGAUUAGCUAGUUGGUAAGGUAACGGCUUACCAAGGCGACGAUCAGUAGCCGGACUGAGAGGUUGAUAGGCCACAUUGGGACUGAGACACGGCCCAGACUCCUACGGGAGGCAGCAGUGGGGAAUAUUGCACAAUGGAGGAAACUCUGAUGCAGCGAUGCCGCGUGAGGGAAGAAGGUUUUAGGAUUGUAAGCCUCUGUCUUCAGGGACGAAAAAAGACGGUACCUGAGGAGGAAGCUCCGGCUAACUACGUGCCAGCAGCCGCGGUAAUACGUAGGGAGCGAGCGUUGUCCGGAAUUACUGGGUGUAAAGGGAGCGUAGGCGGGAUCGCAAGUCAGAUGUGAAAACUAUGGGCUUAACCCAUAAACUGCAUUUGAAACUGUGGUUCUUGAGUGAAGUAGAGGUAAGCGGAAUUCCUAGUGUAGCGGUGAAAUGCGUAGAUAUUAGGAGGAACAUCAGUGGCGAAGGCGGCUUACUGGGCUUUAACUGACGCUGAGGCUCGAAAGCGUGGGGAGCAAACAGGAUUAGAUACCCUGGUAGUCCACGCCGUAAACGAUGAUUACUAGGUGUGGGGGGACUGACCCCUUCCGUGCCGCAGCAAACGCAAUAAGUAAUCCACCUGGGGAGUACGACCGCAAGGUUGAAACUCAAAGGAAUUGACGGGGGCCCGCACAAGCAGUGGAGUAUGUGGAUUAAUUCGAAGCAACGCGAAGAACCUUACCAGGUCUUGACAUCGUAUGCAUAGCUCAGAGAUGAGUGAAAUCUCUUCGGAGACAUAUAGACAGGUGGUGCAUGGUUGUCGUCAGCUCGUGUCGUGAGAUGUUGGGUUAAGUCCCGCAACGAGCGCAACCCUUACUGUUAGUUGCUACGCAAGAGCACUCUAGCAGGACUGCCGUUGACAAAACGGAGGAAGGUGGGGAUGACGUCAAAUCAUCAUGCCCCUUAUGACCUGGGCCUCACACGUACUACAAUGGCUGUCAACAGAGGGAAGCAAAGCCGCGAGGUGGAGCGAACCCCUAAAAGCAGUCUUAGUUCGGAUUGUAGGCUGCAACCCGCCUACAUGAAGUCGGAAUUGCUAGUAAUCGCAGAUCAGCAUGCUGCGGUGAACACGUUCCCGGGCCUUGUACACACCGCCCGUCACGCCAUGGGAGUCGGUAACACCCGAAGCCUGUAGUCUAACCGCAAGGAGGACGCAGUCGAAGGUGGGAUUGAUGACUGGGGUGAAGUCGUAACAAGGUA
rnacentral:rRNA from 1 species